rnacentral:rRNA from 1 species
AUUGAACGCUGGCGGCAGGCCUAACACAUGCAAGUCGAACGGUAACAGGAAACAGCUUGCUGUUUCGCUGACGAGUGGCGGACGGGUGAGUAAUGUCUGGGAAACUGCCUGAUGGAGGGGGAUAACUACUGGAAACGGUAGCUAAUACCGCAUAACGUCGCAAGACCAAAGAGGGGGACCUUCGGGCCUCUUGCCAUCGGAUGUGCCCAGAUGGGAUUAGCUAGUAGGUGGGGUAACGGCUCACCUAGGCGACGAUCCCUAGCUGGUCUGAGAGGAUGACCAGCCACACUGGAACUGAGACACGGUCCAGACUCCCACGGGAGGCAGCAGUGGGGAAUAUUGCACAAUGGGCGCAAGCCUGAUGCAGCCAUGCCGCGUGUAUGAAGAAGGCCUUCGGGUUGUAAAGUACUUUCAGCGGGGAGGAAGGGAGUAAAGUUAAUACCUUUACUCAUUGACGUUACCCGCAGAAGAAGCACCGGCUAACUCCGUG